CCUACGGGCGGCAGCAGUGAGGAAUAUUGGUCAAUGGACGCAAGUCUGAACCAGCCAUGCCGCGUGCAGGAAGACGGCUCUAUGAGUUGUAAACUGCUUUUGUACGAGGGUAAACGCAGAUACGCGUAUCUGUCUGAAAGUAUCGUACGAAUAAGGAUCGGCUAACUCCGUGCCAGCAGCCGCGGUAAUACGGAGGAUUCAAGCGUUAUCCGGAUUUAUUGGGUUUAAAGGGUGCGUAGGCGGUCGGAUAAGUUAGAGGUGAAAUCCCGAGGCUCAACUUCGGAAUUGCCUCUGAUACUGUUCGUCUAGAGAGUAGUUGCGGUAGGCGGAAUGUAUGGUGUAGCGGUGAAAUGCUUAGAGAUCAUACAGGACACCGAUUGCGAAGGCAGCUUACCAAGCUACUUCUGACGUUGAGGCACGAAAGCGUGGGGAGCAAACAGGAUUAGAUACCCCUGUAGUC
rnacentral:rRNA from 1 species